GUGAGGAAUAUUGGUCAAUGGAGGCAACUCUGAACCAGCCAUGCCGCGUGCAGGAAGACGGUCCUAUGGAUUGUAAACUGCUUUUAUUUAGGAAUAAACCCCCGGUCGUGCACCGGGGCUGAAUGUACUAAAAGAAUAAGCACCGGCUAACUCCGUGCCAGCAGCCGCGGUAAUACGGAGGGUGCAAGCGUUAUCCGGAAUCAUUGGGUUUAAAGGGUCCGCAGGCGGGUAAAUAAGUCAGAGGUGAAAUCCGGCAGCUCAACUGUCGCACUGCCUUUGAUACUGUUUAUCUUGAAUUUUAGUGGAGUGGGCGGAAUAUGUCAUGUAGCGGUGAAAUGCUUAGAUAUGACGUGGAACACCGAUAGCGAAGGCAGCUCACUAACUAUGAAUUGACGCUCAUGGACGAAAGCGUGGGUAGCAAACAGGAUUAGAUACCCUAGUAGUCC
rnacentral:rRNA from 1 species